rnacentral:rRNA from 1 species
CAGCCGCCACGGGAAUACGGAGGGCGCGAGCGUUACCCGGAUUUACUGGGCGUAAAGGGCGUGUAGGCGGCCUGGGGCGUCCCAUGUGAAAGGCCACGGCUCAACCGUGGAGGAGCGUGGGAUACGCUCAGGCUAGAGGGUGGGAGAGGGUGGUGGAAUUCCCGGAGUAGCGGUGAAAUGCGCAGAUACCGGGAGGAACGCCGAUGGCGAAGGCAGCCACCUGGUCCACUUCUGACGCUGAGGCGCGAAAGCGUGGGGAGCAAACAGGAUUAGAUACCCCAGUAGUCCCUGUCUCUUAUAC